rnacentral:rRNA from 1 species
UGGGGAAUAUUGGACAAUGGGCGAAAGCCUGAUCCAGCCAUGCCGCGUGUGUGAAGAAGGCCUUUUGGUUGUAAAGCACUUUAAGUGGGGAGGAAAAGCUUAUGGUUAAUACCCAUAAGCCCUGACGUUACCCACAGAAUAAGCACCGGCUAACUCUGUGCCAGCAGCCGCGGUAAUACAGAGGGUGCAAGCGUUAAUCGGAAUUACUGGGCGUAAAGCGCGCGUAGGUGGUUAUUUAAGUCAGAUGUGAAAGCCCCGGGCUUAACCUGGGAACUGCAUCUGAUACUGGAUAACUAGAGUAGGUGAGAGGGGAGUAGAAUUCCAGGUGUAGCGGUGAAAUGCGUAGAGAUCUGGAGGAAUACCGAUGGCGAAGGCAGCUCCCUAGCAUCAUACUGACACUGAGGUGCGAAAGCGUGGGUAGCAAACAGGAUUAGAUACCCUGGUAGUCCACGCCGUAAACGAUGUCUACCAGUCGUUGGGUCUUUUAAAGACUUAGUGACGCAGUUAACGCAAUAAGUAGACCGCCUGGGGAGUACGGCCGCAAGGUUA